AUGUGCCAGCACAGCAUCGAGAAGGGGGGAAAGAAAGAGAAGUGGAAACGCAGCAACUGCAAUCAGAUCCCGUUCCACACCACGGGAGCACAUUCUCCUCAUAGUGAAGCAAAACUUGGGGCAGAAAACAAAACAAUAUUUGCCAAUUUGGCUUUAGCGCAAAUCCAACUCUUUGUUCUUUUGCACACAUCAAAUGUGAGCCUCUCUCACCUCUGGCAGGAGCCUGGCACAGCACAAAACACACCCAGGUGCAUCCUGGCAGACAGAUUUUAACUUCCCUCUCUACACAGAAGCUUGAUCUACACAGCAGAGAAGAAAAUCCCCACAUCCUUUAUCGAGCAGCUGAAUUUUGGAAAGUUUUAGACAAGCUUUUGGGUACAGCCUUUUAUCAUCUCUGGUAACGAAACAACAACUCAAGCUAAGCACAGGUUAAAAGCAAUUUCUCUUAGUUUAAUCUCAUUAUGUUAAUCAACUCUUUUACUACAUGCAUAACAGCUGCAGCAGCAAUGAAUAACUUCAUUUCAGCGCCUUAUAAAAUGUUCUUUUUUCUUUGCACAUCCUACUCAUCUGCUCUAGAACACACCACAGCUGGUGGCUUACAGCUACGGGUUAAAAUCUAGCACAGAGCUCCCAGGCACCCCAUUCAUCUGUCACUUGGAUGGAUGUACACAGGAACUUUCCUUUUUAUAAACACAGAUUUUAUCCUGGUGGAGAAAAAGAGGGAGAAAAGGUAGCACCAGUUCCACAGUGAAAAGCAGACCUACAGAUUUGGAAUUAAAUAUGAAGACCAAGCUGUCACAUCCUAAACACAUCUACUGUUAGAGCUUUAGUUUGAAGCAUUAAAUUAGCACCAACAAAAGGCAUCUAAAUCAUGAAAACACUAAAAAUAAAAGUGGAAAUACGUUAUUAGUCUCA
rnacentral:lncRNA from 1 species